rnacentral:ncRNA from 1 species
AUUUACCAGGGGAGCGGAUUUGCUGAGAGGAAGUUAUACUUCGACCCUUUACUUGAUACGGGUAAUGCCGGCGUAAGGAGUUUUUUAUUAAU